GAUGAACGCUAGCGGCAGGCUUAAUACAUGCAAGUCGAACGGGAUUGAGAAGCUUGCUUUUCAUGAGAGUGGCGCACGGGUGCGUAACACGUAUGCAACCUGCCCUGUCCAGGGGGAUAGCCCGUUGAAAGACGGAUAAAGACCACAUAACAUCAUUGAAUGGCAUCGUUUAAUGAUCAAAUAUUUAUAGGGACAAGAUGGGCAUGCGUCUGAUUAGCUAGUUGGCGGGGUAAUGGCCCACCAAGGCGACGAUCAGUAGGGGAUCUGAGAGGAUGACCCCCCACACUGGUACCGAGACACGGACCAGACUCCUACGGGAGGCAGCAGUAAGGAAUAUUGGUCAAUGGGCGCAAGCCUGAACCAGCCAUGCCGCGUGCAGGAAGACGGCCCUACGGGUUGUAAACUGCUUUUAUACGGGAAUAACCCCCGUUUCGUGAAACCGGCUGAAUGUACCGUAAGAAUAAGGAUCGGCUAACUCCGUGCCAGCCGCCGCGGUAACAC
rnacentral:rRNA from 1 species